CUGUCUCAAAAAAAAAAGGAAGGACCUUCAUGGGUACCAAAUAUUCACUUGGGCUCAGACACAAAACUCAGUUCUUUCUCCACAAGCACCCCCUCCUUUGAGGGGGCAGCUGCGUCCCUUGACACUGUGGGAUGAGCUCCUUCCUCUGCCACAGUAUUUACUUUCCCGGUGACCUCUGGGGAGGUGGCCUUGCAGUUGGGCACAUCCGGCUUGAAUCCCAGCGGCACCAACUUGGAGCUUCCUGGCUCUGCCACACCUCUCUGAGCUUGGGUUUCUCCAUCUGUGCCGUGGAAUUCAGAGAGGCCCCAGUCUCACUCGGCUGAGGUUCAGGGCCAGUGGCCUUUUCCUGGACCCACAGAUUGCUCUGGGCUUUGCCUAAGACCGGCUGUAGGCAGCCCUCAGAGGCGCCACCUUGGCCACACUGGCUGGAACCAGCGGGUGGGUGGGAGCGCACAGCAGGCAGGGCCAGGGAGACGACCCAGUGCCCUGUAGAACACAGCUAGCCCUUCCGGUGAGAAUCAAAACGCCCCAUUUUACAGGUAAGGAGGUUCUGGGAGGAGUGGCUUGCCGCACCAUGCAGAAGUAAAGAGGGAUAUUCACCCAGAAGGCCAUACCGAUAACACCAAGGACCCUCCUACUCCCUGUUCUGCCACUAUUUAUUGAGCACAUACUACUUGCCAGGCCAUGAGCCAAGAGCUGUACAAGACUGACCUAUUUCAAUCCAACAGCAUACCUAGGAGGAAGGCCUACUGAGCUUUCUUUUACGAGAAACAGGGAGGUUGAUGCAUUUGCCCAAGAUCACAGCUCCCGAGGAGUGGAGCCUGACUGAAUUCAGGCCACCUGCCUCCAGAGGCUGGGUGCUCGGCCAUCCUUCUCUGCACCUGGCUUAGAGCCCCGGCCCGGUGAUCUUGGGUUAGUCCCCUAAGCCCCAGAGUGGCAAAAGGGAAAGGAAGUAUCUUCAGCACCCAGUGAAGGGGGCUCAGAGAGGGGCCAGCUCUCACUCCAGGGCACACAGCCAGCCGAGCCAGGACCCACCACACUCACUCCCCGGCCCCUGGCUCCCCGUGGGUGGCUCCUCCGUGGCGGGGAAGAACCCCCACGGCCGCUCCUGCAGGCAGAUGGACAGACGAUGGCCCCCUCCCACGGCCUGCGGGCUGUGUGGCACCGCCACCUCCUCCCGAGCAGGCUGCCUUGAAGAAACCAGAAGAUUGAUUUCCUGGCAGGCUCUGCGCCGAGGAGCCCGUCCAAAUGGUUUGCAUGUCUGCAUUUUUUACUGCUCCGUUUAAUAUGUAUGCAAAUGCCGGCCGGCUGCGCCCGCCGCGCGGCUGCACGGUCACACGCGGCGCCCCAUUAAAGCGGCCGUCCCGGGCGCGCGCCUCAUUCGAGGCGACGGGCUCCGGGCCCUGAUAGAUGGGGUGCGGGGACGGAGACAAAUGACGGCCUUUGGCUCCUAACUUCAUCGGCACGGUGUCAUUUGAGUUUCACAUUAGCCCAUGAGAAGCUGGGAAUACCUGACUUUUGGGGAAGGCAGCCCGUUAAGCCCCAGCCUCCUGUUCCCAGCCCUCACUCAACAUGCAGUCGCUCUGGUUUGAACGCCUGUGACAAGUGUGUACCUACGUAUCAGGGUGAGUAUGGGCUGUGUCCACACGAGUCGGCGUGCACACAUGUGUGUCAGUGCGCCUAUAUGAAUGUUGUCCUUGGCAGGCAGGCAACUGAGUGUGAAUUUCCCUGAGGGUUUCCAUGUUACUGUGGUUCAGGCUGGGCCUUCCCUGCUGUCCCCCGGCCCCUCAGCCAAGGAAAGCCUCUGGAAUGAGGGGACAGGGCAUGGCACUAUGAGGCUCCCACAUGCCAGAGGCACCCCUGAGCUUUGCAUAGAUGGGUAGGACUUGGAUUAUUGGGGGCUGGACUGGAGCCUUGGAAUUCUGGGCCCGAAGUGAGGGUUGAGGACAGCUCUCUAGAGAGCCCUCUGUGUGUGUGUGU